GACGAACGCUGGCGGCGGGCUUAACACAUGCAAGUCGAACGGAAAGGCCCUGCGGGUGUGGGGUGCUCGAGUGGCGAACGGGUGAGUAACACGUGAGUAACCUGCCCUUGACUUUGGGAUAACUUCAGGAAACUGGGGCUAAUACCGGAUAGGAGCUGCUGCUGCAUGGUGGGGGUUGGAAAGUUUCGGCGGUUGGGGAUGGACUCGCGGCUUAUCAACUUGUUGGUGGGGUAGUGGCUUACCAAGGCUUUGACGGGUAGCCGGCCGGAGAGGGUGACCGGCCACAUUAGGACUGAGAUACGGCCCAGACUCCUACGGGAGGCAGCAGUGGGGAAUAUUGCCCAAUGGGCCCACGCCUGAUGCAGCAACGCCGCGUGCGGGAUGACGGCCUGCGGGUUGUAAACCGCUUUAGCCUGUGACGAAGCGUGAGUGACGGUAAUGGGUAAAGAAGCACCGGCUAACUACGUG
rnacentral:rRNA from 1 species